rnacentral:rRNA from 1 species
AUUGAACGCUGGCGGCAGGCUUAACACAUGCAAGUCGAGCGGGGUGAUGGUGCUUGCACUAUCACUUAGCGGCGGACGGGUGAGUAAUGCUUAGGAAUCUGCCUAUUAGUGGGGGACAACAUCUCGAAAGGGAUGCUAAUACCGCAUACGUCCUACGGGAGAAAGCAGGGGAUCACUUGUGACCUUGCGCUAAUAGAUGAGCCUAAGUCGGAUUAGCUAGUUGGUGGGGUAAAGGCCUGCCAAGGCGACGAUCUGUAGCGGGUCUGUGAGGAUGAUCCGCCACACGGGGACUGAGACACGGCCCAGACUCCUACGGGAGGCAGCAGUGGGGAAUAUUGGACAAUGGGGGGAACCCUGAUCCAGCCAUGCCGCGUGUGUGAAGAAGGCCUUAUGGUUGUAAAGCACUUUAAGCGAGGAGGAGGCUCUUUUGGUUAAUACCCAAGAUGAGUGGACGUUACUCGCAGAAUAAGCACCGGCUAACUCUGUGCCAGCCGCCGCGGUAA